rnacentral:rRNA from 1 species
CCUACGGGUGGCAGCAGUAGGGAAUGUUCGUCAAUGGGCGCAAGCCUGAACGAGCAAUGCCGCGUGAAAGAGGAAGGUCUUCGGAUCGUAAAGUUCUGUUGAAGGGGAAAAAGAGCGGAGAGAGGAAAUGCUUUCGGAUUGAUAUUACCCUUCGAGGAAGUCACGGCUAACUACGUGCCAGCAGCCGCGGUAAUACGUAGGUGGCGAGCGUUAUCCGGAAUGAUUGGGCGUAAAGGGUGCGUCGGCGGCCUGCUAAGUCUGGAGUGAAAGGUACCGGCUCAACCGGUACAGGCUCGGGAAACUGGCGUGCUAGAGCGCAGGAGAGGUCGGUGGCACUCCCUGUGUAGCGGU